rnacentral:lncRNA from 1 species
UUGUUGAUAAUUGGACCUUUUUUUCAAUAAGUCAGAUCGAUUCUGAAAAUAUUCCUCUAGUUCUGCUUUUAUGGAAUUAUUAAUCCAGUGUGCUUGCCAAUUUUGAUUGAAAAGUAAGUAUCAAGUAGCACAUAUCUUCACAUAACGCUUCUAACACUUCUUGGAUAUUGAGGCACUUACCUUUUGCUGUCAGGUAUCAACAAAAUGAAGGAAACCCACAUUUUUUUUCAAGUAAGCGGCAAUAGGAACUGAGGGUGUAGGAUCUGGUCUUAUUCCUCAAGUCCCUAUGAAGGAUCAACUGUAUGAGCAUUCGGAAGCUUAGAAUGACAUCACGUUCAGUGUCCAGGCUGCUGAUACUUUGCCACGAUAAUUCGCAACAAUCAAUGGUACGUCUGUCCGGUGUUUCCGUUUUACACAUACAACCACCCUAUAAUUCCUAUGCAACUUCCCUUUCUCUACGGAAUGAUAGAGAAAUUUUAACAUGCUCCCAAACUAUUCUGUGCUGUUGUAGAGAAAUUUUAAGACGCUCUUAAAAUAUUCUGGACUGUUCAUUCCUUUUGAUCCAAACGUUUAGAUUCAACGUGGUGACUAGGAGGUAAUAGGUCACUCAUAAGUCAUAACUCUUAAAUAGGCAUCAUUGGCAUUUAUAUUUGAAUAUUUAACAUAGAAGGAAGCAAUGCAUUUGGAAAGUAUCAAUUGACAGUAUGAAAGCAUAUCGCUAUACGUUAUCUAAGACAUUUUCUAUAACAUAUUAAGCCAUACUAACUAAUUUAAUGUUUUCUGCUAGUGUGCAAUAUGAUAAUUAUCAGUAUCCUUCGUGUUACAGAAACAUUGCAGGUUCUGUGCUUUGCUUUCUUGGAGCAUUCAAUUUGCUUAUGCACUCAUUGGCCGUCUUCAUCUAAGUUAUAGUGAAGCUUAUCCAACAGCAUGUGUUUCAAGAGAUCAACAGUUUGGGUGGAUGAGCAUCACCUAAGUUAUAGUGAAGCUUCAUUGCCUCCAUUUCAUCCUCUGGUAUGUUCAUUUACGUAAGCAGUUUUUAGAUGAUGACCAUGCUUGUUACUUCAUAUGGUUUAUUAGGUAGCAGAACUCCCUUAUUGUUGGCUUAAUGCAACGAUGUUUGCUUAGCCUUUUCUGAACCACUUAAUAAUAAGACACAUUUCUUUUCUCUUUUCAUUGACUCAUCAGUCUGUGCUACAAUCAGGUUUAUGUUCCGGCAAGUACUGAUCCUGCGGUAACCAACUUCCAUCUGGUGUGGAUUUCAUAUAAGCUGACGUUUCACCGGCACCCUUGACAGUUCUAGCCUUUUAGGUAAUGAUAAUUAAGCAUCCAUAUUUGUGAGUUCCCUUUCCUUGUCCAAUUUCUGACCUUAAGUUCAUUACUCCCUGCACAACGAUUACAGCCAACAGUGAGUUUCGCAGUUGGCAUUCAGGACAUAGCUCCUCUGUCUGAAUAAUAAAAAUAAAUAAAACAUUUGGCCUGAUGUUCUGAGUGAGGCUGAGCCUUGGAGUCCUGCAGUGACCGUAUGGUUAGUAGGUCAAUCUUCCUUUUCUGUUAGUUCUUUACUAAUAAAGCUCAAAAGUGGUAAAAUAUCUCCACUUGUGUCCUGAAAGUCCUGAGUUCAAGACAGCCUCUUUGCAGAAAGGAGCAAGGUAAAGGCGUCUAGAAAUUCCCUUCCCCAGAUGCCACAAUGUGUAGCAGCUUUCGGCAAUGGGUACACCCUUGUCGAAGCUUAAAAGUGAGGAUGUGUCAUGCAUCAGAAGUGGUAACCAAAUGUUUACAGAGCUCACAUUACAUUUGGCGUGAUCAUUCAGUCAAUUGACACUGACUCGUUUUGGUGUGAUCGUCCAGGUGUUUCUCUCAAUUUGCUCCCUGUUGAUGAACCCAUAGCCCGAGCAUGAUUUCAAGGUCAGCUUCUUGGCGAAGGUGUGGCGCCAAGAUGAGAUGAGAUGGAAAUGUGCCACCAACGGUUGAUACUCUGCAUCGAGCGCAUACCACAGUCAGUUUGUUGGCAGAACUAACCCUGUAUGUCUUCCUUGAUUUGAUCAGGCAUGUCAUAACAAAUGCUGCGAUGAACUAAGCCCAUUCACUGCUUGUGUCUCACGAAUUAUUCCUUGGAUUUUUAGUCGUCCUCACACCUACUAAUAGUAUGUGCCUCUAGUAUAGGUAUUCCCAUGAGUUCCCUGUGAAGGCGAAUGAGAAUUCCUAGUUUGAGUUUGUAGGCAGUGGGUGAGGUUGUGCGUGUUGUGCUGCGAGCACUACGUUCCGUUAAGUGUUAGCUGUUAUGUGUGGACCGCAAGGGUUUGUCCUUAGAGCAACUCCAACGGGCCGACCCAAACGGACGGCGAUUUCGUCCGCCUUUUGUCCAUUUGGGUCGGCCUCCCGCCCGCCGCCGCCCUGUUUUUCAUAUGGGUCGGCACCGCGCCCAACGCGUCGACCCAUAU